rnacentral:rRNA from 1 species
UACAGAGGGGGCAAGCGUUGUUCGGAAUUACUGGGCGUAAAGGGCGCGUAGCGGCCGCCUAAGUCAGGGGUGAAAUCCUGGAGCUCAACUCCAGAACUGCCUUUGAUACUGGCGAUCUUGAGUCCGGGAGAGGUGAGUGGAACUGCGAGUGUAGAGGUGAAAUUCGUAGAUAUUCGCAAGAACACCAGUGGCGAAGGCGGCUCACUGGCCCGGUACUGACGCUGAGGUGCGAAAGCGUGGGGAGCAAAC